rnacentral:lncRNA from 1 species
UAAACUAAUAUUUUUGUUUGUCAAACAUAGAUACAAAGCUAUCAAGUGGAUUAAAUUCUAAUAAUAAAGAUGAAUAAUGGUGCCACUUGUUGAAACCUAAAUAAAUGAAUUUUGGAUGAAUAAUACCAACAUUCCUUCUCAAACUUGGUCUAGAGUGAGAAUAUGGAUAUUAUCUAUCCAAUCAACAAGUAAUCAUUUUACUUCUUAUUUUUUCUUGUUCCUAGAUCCACUUGAAUAUUCAAAUCAUCAUUUGUAUUAAUGAUUAGUAUAGGAAGAAAGACAAACUAGUGAUUAGUUUGGAUAUGAUUGUAUAGGCCUUUAGUUUAGAGUAUGAAAGUCAAGUUUCAAAUGUCACAAAGGAUGCAGCUGCCAAUACCAUGAUUUUAUUGAUGUUAAGUACUUCUCCUAUCCUUGUAUUAGAAAGUUGCAUAAUAGAUAAAAAUAAUACGUAAUAUCAUGAGAAUUUGAAUUGUAAUUAAAAAAAUAAAAUAAAAUAAAAUACUUAUUUAAUUUAUUUAAAUUUAUAGUUUAAAUUUUGUAAUUAAAGGUAAAAGUUGUAAGAUUUAUUGUUAAGAAAUUUAGAAGGGCUUUGGUAUCAAGGAUGUAAUAUUUU